ensembl:lncRNA Pdrg1 p53 and DNA damage regulated 1
GCAUCUUCCCUGCUCCCAAAGCCUGACCCUCCCCUCUGGAGCCCAGCUGAGGCGCAUGUUCUUUUCACUGCGCAGGCUUGCCGGAAGUCCCAGAACGGCGCGUGCGCGGAAGGAGCUGGGGUGAAGUAGUAGUGCGAGUGUCGGAAGAGGUCUGUGGCACCAUGGUGUCCCCCGAGGCGGAUCGAGUGCUGCGGUACCUGGUCGAAGUGGAGGAGCUGGCAGAGGCAGUGCUCUCAGACAAGCGGCAGAUUGGGGCAGGAGGCAGCUGAGUUCCCAUCUGCUCCUGUUUUCAGAUUGUAGACCUGGACACCAAGAGGAAUCAGAACCGAGAGGGCCUGAGGGCCCUACAGAAAGACCCGAGUGUCUCUGAAGACGUGAUGGUUUGCUUUGGGAACAUGUUCAUCAAAAUGCCUCACCUUAAGACGAAGGAAAUGAUCCAGAAAGAUCAGGAGCACCUGGAUAAAGAAAUAGAAAGGCUGCGGAGCCAACUGAAAGUGAAAGUUAACCGCCUCCUAGAAGCCCAAGGAAAACCGGAGCUAAAGGGUUUUAACCUGAACCCCCUCAACCAGGAUGAGCUUAAAGCCCUCCAGGUCAUCUUGAAAGGAUGAGACUCACAGCAGGAUGGGGACCUGUGACUAGGACCCUCCCCAGCCUUGAGACCUGCAAGGACAGGAUUGUCUGGUCAAGGGGACAGGCAUAAGGAAUGUGGCUUCUGUACAAAAUCCUUUUCUGUGGUGCUUGGCUGCUUUGUGACAAGAGAGAACCCUUAGUCUGUUCUGUGGGCUUGGCCUGGCCACCAGAGCUUAGACACAAGCUCUAUUGACAACCCUGGCAGCUGUCAGCAGGUGUGUGGGUGUGUGAGAAUGUCUGCAGCCGACACUUCUCAACAGUAGCCUGCUGUUCACAUGGGCCUGGCUAGGGAUGGAGGAGAGGGCGGACGGGGAGCUCCAUUCCAGGUUUCUGCACAGUGAGGCAUUUCAGGCAGUUUGUGUAGCAACUGGAAUAAAGCAGGAGAUUGACAGUUCACUUCUGUGUGAAGCAGACCUAGUACUCCUCACCAGCUGCAGGGUAGACACAUUCAUUUCCCCACUGCUCCAGUUCUGCCCUCCCCGACCCCCCAAAUCCCCCAACCCCCACUGGCUUUCUGCAGUAGGUGCUGCCAGUCAUCCUGUGAUUGCUCCUGAGGUAGGAGUUCUGGCCCGGGGCCGCCAAGCAGUGCCCUUCCUGAUGUGACUCGACGUGGAAUAUCCUCCUGACCUCUGAGAGCAGGGCCUGGCUGGCUAGCUGGCUUGAGAUUACAGUGUGCGUGGUAUGAGAGCAAAGCUGGCCUCUGUUCCCUGCAGCUCGAUAAAAGCUGAACAAACCACAGCUCUGAGUUGUCACCUCAUUCUGUCCUUCACCAAGGGUCCCGCCCUUCUAGAGUGCUACCUAAGAAAUGGUGGCUCUUGCCUUAAAGUGUGUAACAUCAGGAAUAGACAGACCACUAUCUGCUACCCUCACCACAUUUGGCCCAUAGUUACACCAGAAAGGAGCUGGUGUAACUAUCAAGUUUCUUGAAAGAAGGGGGUGGAGAGGUGGCCCUGGGGUUAAGAGCAUUUGCCAUUUUCAGAGGACUAAGUUAAGUUCCCAGUCCUACAUACUAGCUUGUAACCAUCCAUAACUCCAGUUCUAGGGAAUUGACACCUUCUAUUCUCCACAGGCAUACACAGUACAUGUACACACAUGUGCAUACAUGCAGAAUGCCCAUACAAAUCUUUAAAAAUGAACUAGUCAGGUAUGGUGGUGUACACCAUUAAUCCCAGCACUUGGGAGACAGAAGUAGGUGGAAAUUUCUAUUUCCAAUUGUCAUGCACACUGCCCGAGUUCAAGGCUAGACUGGUCUACGGAGGAAGUUACAGGACAGACCCUGUCCCAAAAAACAGAUAAGGAACUAGAAAUUAGAAAUCAGCCAAAUAUUUUGAAUAUUGCUGAUACCUUCAAGGAAUAUUUAAAAAUGUUGAUCAAGAUAGACACCUUAUGUCAGGCAAAUUUGGUCCGUGCCCUGAAGGUUUGUUUUCUUGGGUUUUAUAGGCACUCCCCUGGUAGACCCAGACCAGGCCACAUGUCUGCACUGGGCUCUAGUUAUAAGACCACAGCGUCAGAGGAAGGAGGCAGGGUGGCUCAGGCUGAACCCUGAGGUGGAACCAGAGCAAGGGCCGAGCAACGCUUGACCACUGACUGUUGGUAGAUGCUGUGUGGUCCCCGAAGGACAGGCCGCAGGGUGGAGGGGAGGUAAUACUGUUACCCAACCCUUCAUAAGCUUUGACCUUCCAAACCAUAUGAGUAAAAUGCAAGCCCAACAGAAUUCACUUUGACGGCAGCUGCCUGGCACAUAAUUUCCCCAAUGGAACAGUGCUUCUGCCUGCCAGGGUGCUAGGCCAAGAGCACA